GCCCCCUGUCCCUGCGGAAGCAGCGGGAGGGCAGGGUCCGAUGUCCGGGUUUCUAUGCCAGGCAGGGAUGAUGAUCCCUGUCACCGGAUGAUCUUAUCCCUGUACCCUCAGCGCCGCCGUCUGCAGUGGAAAAUGCUGUUACUGCUCGGAGGUCUAGCUCUCUGACCCAGGAUGGAGUGCAGUGGUGUGAUCACAGCUCAUUGCAGUCUCCAACUCCCAGGCUCAAACCAUCCUCCAGCCUCAGCCUCCCAAGUAACUGGGACCACAGGCACGUACCACCAUGCCUGGCUAAUUUUUACCAUUCCAGGCACUGGAGCCAUCAGAGUACAAAACAGACGCAAACUUCUGUCCUCUUGAAGUCCACUCUGGGAGACAGGCGAUGACACACACAACAUAUGUAUCAAAGUGAGCUGGGAGCCUUGUGAGGCUUUGAGCAGAGGAAGGACAUGGUCUGGCUCUGGCUGCCGAGUGGAGCAGGAAGAGAAAGAAGGUGAAGGGGAUGCUGCUGUCACCAGAGCCCCAGGUGAUGCUUGGUGGAUUGCACACGGGUAGAAAGAAGUGAUCCGGAUCAGGACAUAACUUGAAAAAGGAGCUAUUCCCUGUGCUGAGCUUAGAAACAGGUUUCUGGGCGGGGCGCGGUGGCUCAUGCCUGUAAUCCCACCACUUUGGGAGGCCAAGACAGGUGGAUCACAAGGUCAGGAGUUCAAGACCAGCUUGGCCAAGAUGGUGAAAUCCCAUCUCUACUAAAAAUACAAAAAUCAGCCGGGAGUGGUGGCGGG
rnacentral:lncRNA from 10 species